rnacentral:rRNA from 1 species
AGCAGUCGCCGCGGUAAUACGGAAGGUCCGGGCGUUAUCCGGAUUUAUUGGGUUUAAAGGGAGCGUAGGCCGUGGAUUAAGCGUGUUGUGAAAUGCAGGUGCUCAACGUCUGCACUGCAGCGCGAACUGGUCCACUAGAGUGUGCGCGACGCAGGCGGAAUUCGUCGUGUAGCGGUGAAAUGCUUAGAUAUGACGAAGAACUCCGAUUGCGAAGGCAGCUUGCGGGAGCACAACUGACGCUGAAGCUCGAAAGUGCGGGUAUCGAACAGGAUUAGAUACCCCUGUAGUCCCUGUCUCUUAUAC